rnacentral:rRNA from 1 species
CCCUAUGGGGCGCCUGGAUGCUGAGCCGCUGCACUUUCGGCGCACACACUUCAUGCUCGACACUCGGAAACAUAGCUCUCCUCUCUCCACUUUAGCGAAGCUGAUUCUUAUCGUAAGGUCCAAACCACCGACGCGCUUGCGGCACAUUUCGGAAGGAGCCAUGAUCGUCCCGGGAGGCGUCAGAAGGCUGAUGGUCGCCUUGCCCGAUUCCUCGCCAAGGCAGUGGGACAACUUGACUUCAUCGCCCAGCCUCAACCCCAUACUGAAGAAGGCCGUGGGAUUCAUCACGAUAACGCCGUCCGCAUCCAGCGCCGCCGCAGGGUCCGGGGCGAGCAAGGCGCCUUUGUAGAAAGGAUCGAAUUGCUCGCGGGGAACGACAGCGAAGGGAUGGUCCGCAUCUUUUUCGGCGGGAGAGC